ACUGCAACCAGUUCUGCUUCAAGGGUUUUCUGUUUUUAUUUUAAUGUAAUUGCAGAAACUGGCCACACUGUGGCAGAAUUGUAGCCUAUUAUUCUAUCAAGCUCCUCCUAUAUGUGUUUAACCUGUGCAAACAUAUAGUCACAUACAGUGAAAUCUAAACUCAGGCUGGCUCAUGUUCAUCAUCAUCAUAACUCACUAAUAUCACGUUUGCAGUUUUAUAUGCUUGUAUGUAAACUAUGUUAAUCUGGCUGAAGAGUUUACUUCUAUUGGCUGCAGUUCUAGAGUGCAGCACACAAGAUUCUGUUAAUCAGCCAACAAGAGUUCAAACAGCGUCUGAACAUGACGUGGUCACACUUCACUGCACUUACAGCACCAGUGACCAAUACCCUUAUCUUUACUGGUACCAGCAGAAAACCAAUGGAUUCCCAGUUUACAUGCUCCGUAAACUCUCAACUGGAUCAAGCAGCAGUGAAAAAGAAUUUGAGGAAAGAUUUCAUGCAGAUCUCAACAAAUCCUCAAGCUCAGUUCCUCUGAUGAUCCAGGAUGUGUGUGUGUCUGACUCUGCUGUUUACUACUGUGCUCUGAGGACCACAGUCACAGGAAACACAAGAACACUGUACAAAAACCUGAUACACAAUAUUGCAUACAGUACAUUAAACACAUUCGGCUCCCCUGUCUGUAAGUCACAUUCACUCUAAAAAUUAAUUUCACUAUAUG